rnacentral:rRNA from 1 species
CCUACGGGAGACAGCAGUGAGGAAUAUUGGUCAAUGGGCGCGAGCCUGAACCAGCCAAGUCGCGUGAGGGAAGACGGUCCUAUGGAUUGUAAACCUCUUUUGUCGGGGAGCAAAAGACGCUACGCGUGGCGUUCCGAGAGUACCCGAAGAAAAAGCAUCGGCAAACUCCGCGCCAGCAGCCGCGGUAAUACGGAGUAUGCGAGCGUUAUCCGGUUUUAUUGGGUUUAAAGGGUUCGCAGGCGGAAGAUCAAGUCAGCGGUAAAAUGGGGAGGCUCAACCUCUUCGAGCCGUUGAAACUGGUUUUCUUGAGUGAGUGAGAAGUAUGUGGAAUGCGUGGUGUAGCGGUGAAAUGCAUAGAUAUCACGCAGAACUCCGAUUGCGAAGGCAGCAUACCGGCGCUCAACUGACGCUCAUGCACGAAAGUGUGGGUAUCGAACGGGAUUAGAUACCCUAGUAGUC